GAACUCUACCUACUAAACCCCAUCCCUCAUCUUAAGGGAAAUCUACCAUUACAGAUUGUGAAAUUUGCUAGGUGGACCCUGUACUCACUGGCAUUAACUGACUCUGCCCUCCGGGAAGACCUGAACUCUACCUACUAAACCCCAUCCCUCAUCUUAAGGGAAAUCUACCAUUACAGAUUGUGAAAUUUGCUAGGUGGACCCUGUACUCACUGGCAUUAACUGACUCUGCCCUCCGGGAAGACCUGAACUCUACCUACUAAACCCCAUCCCUCAUCUUAAGGGAAAUCUACCAUUACAGAUUGUGAAAUUUGCUAGGUGGACCCUGUACUCACUGGCAUUAACUGACUCUGCCCUCCGGGAAGACCUGAACUCUACCUACUAAACC